UAGGGAAUAUUAGUAAUGGGCGAAAGCCUGAACUAGCAACGCCGCGUGUGCGAAGAAGGCCUUCGGGUCGUAAAGCACUUUUUGAGAGGAUGAGGAAGGACGGUACUCUCAGAAUAAGUCUCGGCUAACUACGUGCCAGCAGCCGCGGUAACACGUAGGAGGCAAACGUUAUCCGGAUUUACUGGGCGUAAAGCGCGUGUAGGUGGUUUGGUAAGUAGGGCGUGAAAGCUCCUGGCUCAACUGGGAGAGGACGUUCAAACUGCCAAGCUUGAGGAUGGUAGAGGGAGGUGGAAUUCCGGGGUGUAGCGGUGGAAUGCGCAGAUAUCCGGAGGAACACCGAGUGGCGAAGGCGGCCUCCGUGGACCCACUCCUGACACUCAGACGCGAAAGCUAGGGUAG
rnacentral:rRNA from 1 species